rnacentral:rRNA from 1 species
GAUGAACGCUGGCGGCGUGCCUAAUACAUGCAAGUCGAGCGAACAGACGAGGAGCUUGCUCCUCUGACGUUAGCGGACGGGUGAGUAACACGUGGAUAACCUACCUAUAAGACUGGGAUGACUUCGGGAAACCGGAGCUAAUACCGGAUAAUAUAUUGAACCGCAUGGUUCAAUAGUGAAAGACGGUUUUGCUGUCACUUAUAGAUGGAUCCGCGCCGCAUUAGCUAGUUGGUAAGGUAACGGCUUACCAAGGCAACGAUGCGUAGCCGACCUGAGAGGGUGAUCGGCCACACUGGAACUGAGACACGGUCCAGACUCCUACGGGAGGCAGCAGUAGGGAAUCUUCCGCAAUGGGCGAAAGCCUGACGGAGCAACGCCGCGUGAGUGAUGAAGGUCUUCGGAUCGUAAAACUCUGUUAUUAGGGAAGAACAAAUGUGUAAGUAACUAUGCACGUCUUGACGGUACCUAAUCAGAAAGCCACGGCUAACUACGUG